GUCUCAGGCCGUAUCAGCCUGAAGGCGCUCGAUCUCGUCUGAUCUCGGAAGCUAAGCAGGGUCGGGCCUGGUUAGUAUCUUAGGAUGGGAGACCACCUGGGAAUCCCGGGUGCUCGAGGCU
rnacentral:rRNA from 1 species